rnacentral:rRNA from 1 species
AUUGAACGCUGGCGGCAGGCCUAACACAUGCAAGUCGAGCGAGCGGCGGACGGGUGAGUAAUGUCUGGGAAACUGCCCGUUGGAGGGGGAUAACUACUGGAAACGGUAGCUAAUACCCCAUAACAUCAGAUGUGCCCAGAUGGGAUGAGCUAGUAGGUGGGGUAACGGCUCACCUAGGCGACGAUCCCUAGCUGGUCUGAGCGGAGGAUCAGCCACACUGGAACUGAGACACGGGCCCGAGUCCUACGGGAGGCAGCCGUGGGGAAUUUUGCACAAUGGGCGCAAGCCCGAUGCAGCCAUGCCGCGUGGGUGAAGAAGGCCUUCGGGUUGUAAAGCACUUUCCGCGGGGAGGCGUUACCCGCAGAAGAAGCACCGGCUAACUCCGUGCCAGCCGCCGCGGUAAUAC